CGAAGGACUCUUGAAGUCAUCUUCGACGACGAGCUCCGGCGACAAAGGAAACAAUGAUUCUCAUUGUCGACGAAGCAAGCUGUGUGAAUCUAACAUGGAUAGCAGAAUCGGAGUUACAAAUAAUGAAUUUCAGGAAACUUCGUUUACAUAUAACUUUGGCUUAAAGAGGAAGAUGAUCUCGUGACUUUACUUUUUGGUCUCUGAUGCUUUGUAGAACUCAAUUUUGAAACCGCCUCCUUCAUACGUACAGCCAGCCUUCUCUAGAAGACCGUAAGAUAUUAUGUUCCUGCUGAUAUUCGGCAUGUGUCUCACAUCAGUUAAAAUCACUUCAACACCAUCCACAUUAGUAACUCGAAUCUUUCCAAUUCCUUUAACUUCGCUCUGUGUGUUGUUCGCCAUAAAAACUUUCCACCUUCUAGUUCCUUGAAGUCAAAGAGAACAUUCCUUUGAGGAGUGAUAUGAAACGAGCAGCCAUAGUCUAGAACCCACUCCUACUUAGUGUCCUGAACACUUACAGUCAGUACAAGCGGCUGCUUUGGUUAAGAAGCUAUAUUCAUUAAGCUUGAAGACUCAUUCUUCCUUCCCUGAUUAUUCCAAUUCUGUGGGCAUUCUCUCUUCCAAUGACCAUCCUUUCCGCAAAUAAAACACCCUGUUUUGUUGGUAUUUCGGUUUGAUCUUGGUCUAGACUUUGAUCUUCCAUCCCGUGACUUUGAUCUGCUUUUUCCAUACUUUCCAUUUCCUUUAUUUCCCUUCUCCUUCUGUCUACGUUGAGAUUCCACAUACAAGCCUUUUAAGUUCGAUCUAGACUUUCCAAAGAGACCCCUUUGUUUUGUGUUGUUCAAAAUCUUUAAAAUUCAAAUUGUAGUGGGAUUCUAAGAUUUUCAGUUAUAAUAUUACUAGAUACUAGUUGGUAUAAAUAAAUUACACAUUUAUAUUUUA